UUCAGGUGUAACCACCAUUUUGAAUAUACUUAUGUGUGUAAAUCGACGCCCAGUGUAUCAUAAAAAGUUUAUUGUGAGAAUUGUGGUUUUUGACAUAGUUUGUUAGUGAUGGCAGAUUUCAAUUUGGACGUUGAUAGUUUAAUACAUAGAUUAUUAGAAGUGAGAGGAUGUCGCCCAGGAAAAUCUGUUUCAAUGGCAGAGGCAGAAAUCAGAGGUCUUUGUCAAAGGUCUCGAGAAAUAUUUUUACAACAACCAAUCCUACUGGAACUUGAAGCUCCUUUAAAAAUCUGUGGAGAUAUUCAUGGACAAUAUACUGACCUGUUACGUCUAUUUGAAUAUGGUGGAUUUCCACCAGAAGCCAAUUAUUUAUUUCUUGGAGAUUAUGUUGACAGAGGCAAGCAAAGUCUUGAAACAAUAUGUUUGUUACUUGCCUACAAAAUCAAAUAUCCAGAAAACUUUUUCUUAUUGAGAGGGAAUCAUGAAUGUGCCAGUAUUAACAGGAUAUAUGGUUUUUAUGAUGAAUGCAAAAGACGUUACAAUGUGAAACUAUGGAAAACAUUUACAGAUUGUUUCAAUUGUCUUCCAAUAGCUGCAAUUAUUGAUGAAAAGAUAUUUUGUUGUCAUGGAGGUUUAUCACCCGACUUACAAUCUAUGGAACAAAUUAGAAGAAUAAUGAGACCCACAGAUGUACCUGACACAGGUCUUUUAUGUGAUUUGUUAUGGUCUGACCCUGAUAAAGAUGUUCACGGUUGGGGUGAAAAUGAUAGAGGAGUUUCAUUUACAUUUGGUGGAGAUGUUGUCAGUAAAUUCUUAAAUAAACAUGAUCUUGAUUUGAUUUGCAGAGCACAUCAGGUUGUUGAGGAUGGUUAUGAAUUCUUUGCCAAAAGACAACUGGUUACAUUAUUCUCAGCGCCCAAUUAUUGUGGAGAAUUUGACAACGCUGGUGGCAUGAUGUCAGUUGAUGAAACUUUGAUGUGCUCAUUUCAGAUUCUUAAACCUUCAGAGAAAAAAGCAAAAUACCAAUACAGCGGCAUGAAUUCCGGUCGGCAAAACACGCCUCAACAUGUGCCCCCUAAGAAAAAAUAACUCAACUAUGUGCCCUUUCCUUGUACUUUUAUUGAGACGCCUCUGCCUCUGCCCAUACCCAUCUUAUCUGUUGGUGAAAAAGAUAAAGAUAAAACAAAUUCCAAUGAAAAUAAAACUGGAAACAAAAAACCUGAGAAGAAUGAAAUAUCUGGUUGCAGUACUGAAUUUUUUUUGACAAUAGACAUUCAAAACAUGAAUAAAUUACACUAUGAAAGAUGUUCGAGCAUUAAUUAUAAGAGGAUUAUAAAUCGAUUUUGAAAAGUGAGUUUAUAAAAUGGGUAUAUAUAUAUUUGGGCAAAGCAUAGGCUUCUGGAGGAUUGUUUUUGGACAGAUGAAAUAUUAUUUUUUAUAUAUAAUUCAUGUUUUUUAGUAUACUAUUCAAUUUUGUCUGCAAACUAUCAUAAGCAAUUGAGUCAAAUUAUGCUGUCCAAAUCAGUCAUCUAGGUAAGGGAUUAUAUCUUCCAAUUGCUCUUUAAUUUUAACUACUCUUUGCAAUAUUUUUGCAGGUAUUAUAUAUUUAAGAGUAUUUUUUCAAUUUUAUA